rnacentral:rRNA from 1 species
GAUGAACGCUGGCGGCGUGCCUAAUACAUGCAAGUCGAGCGAACAGACGAGGAGCUUGCUCCUCUGACGUUAGCGGCGGACGGGUGAGUAACACGUGGAUAACCUACCUAUAAGACUGGGAUAACUUCGGGAAACCGGAGCUAAUACCGGAUAAUAUAUUGAACCGCAUGGUUCAAUAGUGAAAGACGGUUUUGCUGUCACUUAUAGAUGGAUCCGCGCCGCUUUAGCUAGUUGGUAAGGUAACGGCUUACCAAGGCGACGAUGCGUAGCCGACCUGAGAGGGUGAUCGGCCACACUGGAACUGAGACACGGUCCAGACUCCUACGGGAGGCAGCAGUAGGGAAUCUUCCGCAAUGGGCGAAAGCCUGACGGAGCAACGCCGCGUGAGUGAUGAAGGUCUUGGGAGCGUAAAACUCUGUUAUGAGGGAAGAACAAAUGUGUAAGUAACUGUGCACGUCUUGACGGUACCUAAUCAGAAAGCCACGGCUAACUACGUG